rnacentral:lncRNA from 1 species
UUUAAAGAAAUAAAUAAAAUCUUAAAGAAGUAUUAAAAAUAAAAAUUCUAAAUAAGUUCUAAAUAAACUUUAAUAAAAUUUUAAUUUAUUUUUGAUUGAAACUCUAAUAAACCUUAACCAAAUUUUAGGUCAAAUCUCAAUUCAAAUCCUAAUAAAUAUUAAUCAAAUUGUAGAUCAAAUCCUACUGAAAUCCUAAAUCCUACACAAAUUCUAGACAAAUCCUAAAUAAAUCCAAAUCAAAUUCUAGUCAAAUCCUAAUCAAAUCCAAUGAAAACAUUAAAUCUUAACCAAAUCCUAGAAAAAUCCCAAAUUCUUAUUAAAUUCUAAAUCCUAAUUAAAUCCUAGAUAAAUCUUAAUCAAAUCCUAAUUAAAUCCUAAUUAAAUUUUAAAAAAUGCUAAAUCUUAACCAAAUCCUAGGCAUAUCUUAAAUUAUAACCAAAUCUUAAUCAAAUCCUAGACCAUAAAUCAACUCCAAUCAAUUCUUAAUCAAUUCUUAAAUUUUAAAUUAAUCUUAAUAAUCCUAUAACAAAUUGAAAAU